rnacentral:lncRNA from 1 species
GAAUGAAGCAAAUUGCAUUGUCUUAUCCUCAGACACAUGACGUAAAUGAAAAAAAUUCCAGUACAAUCAAAACUUUCCUUAACAAGAAGGAAACAUAGACCAUCCAAAUGAUUGGGAUGAACACUUAUCUGCUAUAGCCUAUGCUUUCAAUUUGACACAUUUGGAGCCAAAUCAAAACACUCCAUAUUUCCAAAUGUUCAGCCAUAAUCCACGUGUUGUUGAGCCCAUGAAUAUAUUGUGUGGAAGGAGAAUACAGUAGUUUUGCCAAAAUAUUUGAAGCAACUAAAAAAUUCAGUCAAGCGCUGGAAGAAGACAAAACCUCAGGUUGCCAGGUAAAUGUUAUAUAUUUGAAUUUUACUAGUAAGAAGAUUGAAGAUAAAGGUGAAAAGUUCUGAGGUAUAAAGUAUAAGUAACCUUUUAAAAUAAUGUGGGGGGUUGGGUGUUGGUUUUUAGUUUGUUUUCCUUCCCCUGUGAUCCCUUAAUUUCAGUGUAACAUGUAUGUAUUUGGAGGGAGUAACCUUAAAAGAGACCUAUUGUCAGAAGUUUAUUGUGUCUGACUUGGAGGGUGGAAUGGAGAAGUAGAAAACUAUUGCCUAUGGAGUAGUGAUUUAUGAAGAUAAAAGCAAUUUCUUCAUCACUCGUCAGUCCCACAUAAUUACAAACUACACACAUCCAAAACCACUCAAUGUCAUGUUUAAGCGCUGUUAACCAGUGCUACAAAAUUCCAUGAUUACUUUUGGAAAAAAAAAUAACUCACUUUUAUCUUUCUGUGGGCAGAUAAAAAAACUCCAGAUGGAAAAAAAAAUCAGAACCAAAAUCACAGAAAAAAAGGAAGUCAAAACAAUUAAAUACUCUUUAACUUAAAGUUGAUCAUGAAGUCCUCAGGCAAAGAAAAAACUGGUGGAAAGAUGGGCGUUUCCAGUCGGAAUGGAUUGGUCCUUGUAUAAUGGAUUACAUCACAGAAAAUUGGCUGUGCAAUAUUAAGAGAUUCUACAGGAUCCAGGCUGAAAAGACCCAUCAAGAUGUCUCACCUCAAGCCAUAUGCAACCAUGACAUUCUACAAGGUGCAGUAGUUUUUGACCAUGACUGUAUUGGCUUAUCUGGAAGAACUAAUAAUUCAAGCCAAGCAGACUCUUCUGCUGAGAAAGAAAUAAAUGCCUACAAAAGAGAUGUCGUGUCUGCUGUACAGAUUCCACCUGCAGCCUGCAAAGACCAAGAAUCAGCAGAUGGUAAACUUGAGUCUGAGCUGAGAGAAGACCAUUGCAUUGAACCAAACAUUACAAAGCCAGAGCAAUGGCCAUCACCUUGUUGGACACUUCAGACAAAGACAGAGGAUAUUAAGCAUAGUCUUCUAUCACAUUUCAUUGCCAAGCAGUUUGGAACCACUGUGGCAAACUGAAAAAAAAAAAUUAAUAGCUCCAACCUCCUUAGCCCAAUCCACUUUACUCCUUUAUGAAUGUAAGAGUGCUUUAGGUAUCUAAUUUGUCUGGGUGUUAAGAAAAAGCCCUAGUAAAAGCACAUAUUCUGAUCAUGCAUUUUCAAUUCCAGAUUUUGUUGGUAGAAUGGCAAUGUGGCCAUGCCUUACUGUUAUCCUCUGAGGACACAAUGCAUCAUUUCAUUGUAACGACCUUUUCCAUUUAAUCCUUGGAUGCCUUAUUCCUAAUGUGCACUGUGAGAUGAAUUAAACCUAAGCAAGUUGGUGUAAAUUUUUCCUCCACUACAGAGAAGCUCAUGUCUUCCUUUUCCUGUUAUAUAACAGUUUUCUAUUCAUUUUUGAGAACCUGCAGCAUCUGACUUGUACAACUUUUAAUUUCUAAUCUAAUCCAUUUAAGAUCUCACAAAACAACAAAACUGCCAAAAUCAAAUAUAUGCAGUGUUCUAUGCAUGAAACAAUGAGGGCUUCAGCUGUUCCCUGCUCAUCAAAAGUCUACCAGUGUAGGCAGUUUUAAUAUUUCAGGCAUGUGAAAAACCCUUAAGAGCAUUUAAUAUUAAAAUGUGGUUUUUCCGCAAACAUCUGGUUUCUCCAUUACAGUUACCUCUUCACUGAGCCUGUGCAUGCUGGGAGAUUUUCCAUGGACAGGGGGCUAUGAAACAUGAAGCAGUGGUAUUAACUUAUUCUCUGAUUUCCUUGAGUAAGUUGUUGGUGGUCUGGAAUUCCUGCCGAGAAGACUUUCUCAAAGUCAGC